rnacentral:rRNA from 1 species
CCUACGGGAGGCAGCAGUGAGGAAUAUUGGUCAAUGGACGAAAGUCUGAACCAGCCAUGCCGCGUGCAGGAAGACGGCUCUAUGAGUUGUAAACUGCUUUUGUACGAGGGUAAACACAGAUACGCGUAUCUGCCUGAAAGUAUCGUACGAAUAAGGAUCGGCUAACUCCGUGCCAGCAGCCGCGGUAAUACGGAGGAUCCAAGCGUUAUCCGGAUUUAUUGGGUUUAAAGGGUGCGUAGGCGGUUUGGUAAGUUAGCGGUGAAAUUUUGGUGCUCAACUCCGAACGUGCCGCUGAUACUGCUGGGCUAGAGAGUAGUUGCGGUAGGCGGAAUGUAUGGUGUAGCGGUGAAAUGCUUAGAGAUCAUACAGAACACCGAUUGCGAAGGCAGCUUACCAAGCUACAUCUGACGUUGAGGCACGAAAGCGUGGGGAGCAAACAGGAUUAGAUACCCUAGUAGUC